ensembl:lncRNA
GCUAGCCGCCCAUGCUGUGUUGAAUAUCCUGCAUGGUCUUCUAUUGGACCGCCUUCUCCCGGAGAAAUAUCAUGACGAGCUGCAGACUCCGUGGCUCUUUUGCCCGAAAGCAGCGAAGAUGAUUCGUCUUCAUCGUCAAAGGACUCGGAAUCUUCACUUUUCACAGUGAUAUUCAACGACAUUACCGCGUCUACCAUGCGCACUGUCUUGGUUAUGGAAUCGCUCGACCACGUCUAAAUAGGCUGCCUAUGUGGCUGUUUCUCUCAAUGCUUAUGAGAAGGAAAAAGUUUUAGUCUUUCAUUUAGAUAAAGAAAUUCGCCUACAAACCCCAACAUCAGCCACUAUUGCAGUAUUUGCAUUCUCGGACAUGUGACUUUACAACAAGCUGAAGAGAAAUGGCUGCGUACUUUACCAGGCAUGUCUGCGCAACGCUGCUUCGCAGCUCUGGGCUUGGAUUCGCUACUGGCAAUUGUGGUGACGUGUACUAGCGUGCGCAGGCCCUGCACGAGUGCAGAGACUCAACGCAGACGCUGCCCAGACUGCCCUGAAGAGGGCGCUGCUGCUCUGUCUGACAUUCUCCUCAACAGAACCACAUUCUGGUAGGCUACACACAGUCAAACAAGUAGACCUAUUGUAUGUUGUACAAUGUUUUAGAAAAUGUUGGUUUAUUUUCGACAGCAAAUCUGAAACAAAACGCACGUACAAAGCGGAUUUUAAAAAAUGAUGAAGGUGACAUCACAGAUGGAACAAUGAAAUAGAUAUUUAACUGGAUGUUUAAAUGUGAAGCAUCCGCUUGACGUUUCCACUCGCUUCCAAAUAUGGUACUGAGAGGAAGACCACUGGCGGAUAGUGGGAGAAGAUGGAACGAGAUGGAUUUUGUCCGACAUUUAUGCAAAUGAGCUCACCGAUGAAACAUUUGAUCUCAAAGUUUUCUGUUCCCAAAACUAGAAUAUGUUAUGAACAGAGUGGACUAAAGUGUGUAGACUUUAGCCUUUGCAAACGUUUUUAAAAAUGCCGUUGUUUAAGAGUGCAAAGGCGAAUCGAGUUAUUGCACACGCGCACUUCACGUAGUAGGCGUUCCCUAACGGAAAUAUGCAAUAUGCGCCAAUAGGAUUUCGCUAUCUCGUGCUUGGCUCUGCCUGCCUGCCCCCUGAAGUUGGUUUCUGAAUGGAGUACUCUUGAACUCUCUCUCAAAUAGAUCCUUCAAUCUUUCGCCCAUUCCACGGAACUCUGCAUUAUCCCUCAGAAAAAAAGACAGACACAUUUGUAUAGAAAACAAGCUAGAAAUGCAAUAAACAACUCAUUUAGCCUAAUUCAUAUUUGUUAUGGAUUAAACAAGGGCACAUUAUUAAAGUGUUAUUCAUUCAUUAGCACAAGUUGACUAGUAUAAUCAAAAUGUUAGACCUGGGUCUUCACAUUGGAUACUGCAGUAGUGCAGUCUCACCCUGUUAAAUGUGGCACAGUUGGUGAAGAGCAACACAUCAGACACAAAGUCUUGGCUUGGCACACCUGUAUUUCAGGAUUUUCUUGCAUUCUUCUUUGAAGAUCCUCUCAAGCUCUGUCAGGUUGGAUGGGGAGCGUCGCUGCACAGCAAUUUUCAGGUCUCUCCAGAGAUGUUCGAUCUGGUUCAAGUCCGGGAUAUGGCUGGGCCACUCAAGAACAUUCAGAGAUCUGUCCCGAAGCCACUCCUGCAUUGUCUUGGCUGUGUGGUUAAGGUCAUGUCCUGUUGGAAGGUGAACCUUCGCCCCAGUCUUCGGUCCUGAGCACUCUGGAGCAGGUUUUCAUCAAGGAUCUCUCUCCCAGUCCCUGCCGCUCAAAAACAUCCUCACAGCAUGAUGCUGCCAAGUCACUUUAUCCUGGUGUCAGGUCUGGAACGGCACCAUCCUGAUCUCAGCACCCUUCACCGCGUUCUUUAUUGCCCUGACUGCCAAGAUGCUCAUCAAACCCCAAUGGCGACCCCAACUCACUGCAGCCAACCUGGCCCCCAGCCCCGCUCACCUCAUUACCCAGAACCUCCCACCACACCCAAGGCUCCAGGAACUUCACCGCCCGGUCCACCCCAUCUGCAGCACCCACCCCCAGCCCGAUCAGAAGCCCCAAGAAGGGGGCGUUGAGCAGCGAAG